UCAGUUUCGGUGCUAUUUACUAUAUAGUUUAAAAUUUUUAAAAUUUAUAUAAAUUUCUCGCUGCGUAGCGCGGGCCUUCACUAGUAUUCAUGAUUCAAUUAUUGAAUGUAGCUAGGUCCCAACUUAGUCCUAAUUUGACCAGAUCAACAUAUGCGAACCGACUAAAAGCGAGGCCGACUCACCAGCGUUUCUUCUCGUCGGCCAACAGCUAUAUAUGUGCCGGCCUGAUGCUUCUCGUGGUCGUAGAUGCGCCGGCGGACGACCGUCGUUCUUCUCUUCUGCCGACCACUAAGCGCCAAGCGAUUCAUCACCAGCUCUUCUCUUCCGCUGUCGGAUAACAAAGCGUCAAGCGGAUGAUCAGUGAAUCCUCCGUCCCACUGAUGGCAAAACGUCAGCAUCAUUGUUGUCGAUGUGUCGGCAGGUGGUCGCCGUCCUUCUCUUCCGCCUACGACUAAGCGCCAAGCAGAAGCUUAAGGCUUCAAGGCUCCUCCUUAAUUCGUGUAAUUCCCUUGUAUAUUUAUGGGCUGAUUUAAACUUUGGCCCAACAUAUGUGCCCUCACUUUUUAACAUUUCAUAGAAGCACCCACCGUACCUAGAGCAAGUGGC